rnacentral:rRNA from 1 species
AUUGAACGCUGGCGGCAGGCCUAACACAUGCAAGUCGAACGAGUGGCGGACGGGUGCGUAAUGUCUGGGAAACUGCCCGAUGGAGGGGGAUAACUACUGGAAACGGUAGCUAAUACCGCAUACCAUCUGAUGUGCCCAGAUGGGACUAGCGAGUAGGGGGGGUAACGGCUCACCUAGGCGACGAUCCCUAGCUGGUCUGAGAGGAUGACCAGCCAAACUGGAACUGAGACACGGUCCAGACUCUUACGGGAGGCAGCAGUGGGGAAUAUUGCACAAUGGGCGCAAGCCUGAUGCAGCCAUGCCGCGUGUAUGAAGAAGGCCUUCGGGUUGUAAAGUACUUUCAGCGAGGAGGCGUUACUCGCAGAAGAAGCACCGGCUAACUCCGUGCCAGCCGCCGCGGUAAUAC